GCGGUUGUAGCUCAGUUGGUAGAGCCCUGGAUUGUGAUUCCGGUGGUCGCGGGUUCGAGCCCCGUCAAUCGCCCCA
rnacentral:tRNA from 2 species